UACAGAGACUGCAAGCGUUAUUCGGAUUCACUGGGCGUAAAGGGCGUGCAGGCGGUCUGUUAAGUUCAGGGUGAAAGCUCCCGGCUCAACUGGGAGAGGUCCUUGGAUACUGGCAGACUUGAGGGAGGUAGAGGAGAGUGGAAUUCCCGGUGUAGUGGUGAUAUGCGUCGAUAUCGGGAGGAACACCAGUGGCGAAGGCGGCUUUCUGGGCCUUUCCUGACGCUGAGACGUGAAAGCGUGGGGAGCGAACCGG
rnacentral:rRNA from 1 species